GGCUGGUUCGAAGGUAUCAAGUGAUCUCACUUAAUUGUUCACAGUCAGUUACAGAUUGAACUCUUUGUUCUACUACUUUCCCACCUGCUCACUACUGCAGUUGACUAGUCUAAA
rnacentral:Y_RNA from 1 species